rnacentral:lncRNA from 1 species
AUCACUCCUGAAUUGCCCUUCAUAUUAUAGACGCUGGUACUAUAGCAAUGCUGCCAGCAAGGUUUCAGCAAGCACAUUUUUUUUAGGUGAAAUGUAGUGUGCUUAUUUCCUGUGUUCUAUAAUCACAUUUGUAGCCUCCACCCUGCACACUAUCUCCUCUUUUGUUUUUCAGACUUUGCCCCAAGCCUGCUGCCUGGGAGAUGGACGCUUGUUCACUUCUAACCUAAAAUCGCUCUAUUUGGCAGUAACCCAGCAACAAGCCAGAGCUGCUUGCAAACGGCACCAGGCAGAACCAGAAGACCCUGGAUCCCUUAACCAUGCUGCUACCCAGGACCCUACAGAAAAGUCGAUAGAUUUGCCAGUGACGGAAGAAAAGACAGAGACUCAACUGCCAUCUGCACAGCAUUUGGAAGAAGCAACGGUCCCAUCUUCCCAAGCCCAGAAAGCACAAAUGCCUGUUGUCAAGACUAAAAGGAAGAAGGCGAAAGGGCUGUUUGGCUGAUGCAACUGAUCACUUUACAUAGACAGGGGUGCUGAUGCAGUUUUGAACUCCCCUUUGUCUUCCUGGAAUGUCUAGAGAGAGAAAAAAAAACUGGACUUCAUAUUGAAGCUCACAAUUGUAUCCCUCCACUCCUUUUGCCAUGUUAAACAUGUUAAAUUUGUCCAAGGGAACCUCUCCUUCUGCACCAGAGCUAUCUAUUUUUUUUAACCCCUGCUUAUUCUUUCCUGCUGACCCAGAAUCUUAGAAAUGAUGGAUUAUUACUAUUGGGUAGAAGGAAAGAAGCAGAACUGCAUCCUGUACUUUGCUUUGUUAAAGCUUGGCUACAAGUUGAUUACUCGGUGCAGUGAUUUCCACAUAAGCACUUUGUAAUACAAAGGGUAUCCUUAAAAGGGUUCUGUGAAAUUACAAUUGGUGAAAAAUGUGUCGAUUUCUUUAUUUUAAUUGGUGCUCAGGAAAUUACAGAGUAUGUGGCAGCCAGGCUGCUGACUGGCAUAAGGUUCAGAAAUGAUGAUUCCUGUUCUGAAAGGGCUGGUCUGUCUGCCAAUUCCCUACUGAACACAAUUUAAAUAUGGGAGUUGAUCUCUCAAUGGUUAUUUCUGUGGCUGCCUCUUCCCCUAUGAACCUGUUCAGUUACUCCCUUCUAGUACUUUGCUAUCUUGCUAUGCAGGAUUCACUUCUCCUGCCUUGCUUCAAGGCUUUGGAUAAUUAUCUCAAGGUGAUGGACGUGACCUCCCAUUAUUUCAGUAUUUAGGACAUGGCCAAAGAUACCUCUUUAACCAAGGUUGGAGUUACUAAUUGAUUUUAAUUAUAAAUAGUUUCGAUUUUAAUUGCAUUGAUUUUACUGUUGUGUUUCAUAUUUAUAUCUUGUCCUUGAAUACAUGUGUAUGUGCUCUAUCUUAAAAUAAUACAGGAUUUCAUGCCCUAAGAAAAGCCUACCCUAACUCACUGCAAUGCAAACUUACUAUGGGGAUUGAUGGGAUAUCUACAAAAAUAUGCCAAGCAACAAGAUUCAUAAAAGGGUCUAAUCAAAUUGUGCCAGAAAAUCUAGAGAUGCUCUUCAGGUCUUCCUCGGUAGCAUGUUGAAUGCCAUCUAACCUGAGAGGCUAGUUUGGUCUAUUGGUUAAGGCACCGGGCUAGAAAGCAGGACACUGUGAGUUCAAGUCCCAUCUGAGCCAUGGAAACCAGCUGAGUGACUUUGGGCCAAGUCAUUCUCUCUCAGCUCAACACACCUCACAGAAUUUAUUGUUGUUGUGAAAGGGGAGGAGGAAGGCGUGUUGGAUAUGUUAGUCCAGAGUUUCCCCAACCUUUUCGGCUUUGCAGGCCAGCGGGGGCAGGGCAGGAGGGGGAUGGUUCCGCAUAUGCUUGUCCACUACUCACACAAGUGAGGAUGCAUGUACGUGCUUGCCCACUUCCACCGCCCAGUUCCAAAAGGCUCAAGGCCUGGUAGUGGGCUGUGGCCUGGCAGUUGAGGAUCCCUGUGUUAGUUGACUUGAGAUAUUUGUAAAAAUAAUAAAGGUGAAAUACAAAUAAAUUAAAUAAAAACA